rnacentral:rRNA from 1 species
UGGGGGAUAUUGCACAAUGGGGGGAACCCUGAUGCAGCGAUGCCGCGUGAGGGAAGAAGGUUUUCGGAUUGUAAACCUCUGUCUUUGGGGAAGAGAAGAAGACGGUACCCAAGGAGGAAGCCACGGCUAACUAUGUGCCAGCAGCCGCGGUAAUACAUAGGUGGCAAGCGUUGUCCGAAAUUACUGGGUGUAAAGGGAGCGUAGGCGGGAAGAUAAGCGGGCUGUAUAACCUAUGGGCUCAACCCAUAGUUGCAGUUCGAACUGUUUUUCUUGAGUGAAGUAGAGGCAAGUGGAAUUCCUAGUGUAGCGGUGGAAUGCGUAGAUAUUAGGAGGAACACCAGUGGCGAAGGCGACUUGCUGGGCUUUAACUGACGCUGAGGCUCGAAAGCGUGGGGAGCAAACA